AUUGAACGCUGGCGGCAUGCUUUACACAUGCAGGUCGAACGGCAGCGCGGGCUUCGGCCUUGCGGCGAGUGGCGAACGGGUGAGUAAUGCAUCGGAACGUGCCCAGUAGUGGGGGAUAGCCCGGCGAAAGCCGGAUUAAUACCGCAUACGACCUGAGGGUGAAAGCGGGGGACCGAAAGGCCUCGCGCUAUUGGAGCGGCCGAUGUCGGAUUAGCUAGUUGGUGGGGUAAAGGCUUACCAAGGCGACGAUCCGUAGCUGGUCUGAGAGGACGACCAGCCACACUGGGACUGAGACACGGCCCAGACUCCUACGGGAGGCAGCAGUGGGGAAUUUUGGACAAUGGGGGCAACCCUGAUCCAGCCAUGCCGCGUGCGGGAAGAAGGCCUUCGGGUUGUAAACCGCUUUUGUUCGGGAAGAAAGCCUCUGGGCUAAUACCCCGGGGGGAUGACGGUACCGGAAGAAUAAGCACCGGCUAACUACGUG
rnacentral:rRNA from 1 species